rnacentral:rRNA from 1 species
GAUGAACGCUGGCGGCGUGCCUAAUACAUGCAAGUCGAGCGAACGGACGAGAAGCUUGCUUCUCGGAUGUUAGCGGCGGACGGGUGAGUAACACGUGGAUAACCUACUUAUAAGACUGGGAUAACUUCGGGAAACCGGAGCUAAUACCGGAUAAUAUUUUGAACCGCAUGGUUCAAAAGUGAAAGACGGUCGUGCUGUCACUUAUAGAUGGAUCGGCGCUGCAUUAGCUAGUUGGUAAGGUAACGGCUUACCAAGGCAACGAUGCAUAGCCGACCGGUGAGGGUGGUCGCCCACACUGGAGCGGAGCCGCGGUCCAGACUCCUACGGGAGGCAGCAGUCGGGAACCUUCCGCAAUGGGCGGAAGCCUGGCGGAGCAACGCCGCGUGAGUGAUGAAGGUCUUCGGAUCGUAAAGCUCUGUUAUUAGGGAAGAACAUAUGUGUAAGUAACUGUGCACAUAUUGACGGUACCUAAUCAGAAAGCAACGGCUAACUACGUG